rnacentral:rRNA from 1 species
UACGGGGGGGGCAAGCGUUGUUCGGAAUUACUGGGCGUAAAGGGCUCGUAGGCGGCCAACUAAGUCAGACGUGAAAUCCCUCGGCUUAACCGGGGAACUGCGUCUGAUACUGGAUGGCUAGAGGUUGGGAGAGGGAUGCGGAAUUCCAGGUGUAGCGGUGAAAUGCGUAGAUAUCUGGAGGAACACCGGUGGCGAAGGCGGCAUCCUGGACCAAUACUGACGCUGAGGAGCGAAAGCCAGGGGAGCAAACGGG